UAGGAACUUAGGUUAAGCUUAAACCAAGGGCCUUCAAAGCCCUAAAUAAGAAACAUCUCUUAGUCCCUGC
rnacentral:tRNA from 1 species